rnacentral:piRNA from 1 species
UCUGCAGGAGUAUCGAUUGAA